rnacentral:lncRNA from 1 species
UAGGGGAGGCUCCUACCGCCCAGGUACCCUUCCCUCAGCCCACUAACCCCCAUCACAUAGGUCAAGGGAUGAUCUUUCAGAUAUGGAGGCUGUCAGUUAAUUCCUGGCCAUGAUGCUAUCCUCACAGAGGCUAAGCCCUUCCUUUCCCGUUUCCGUAGAAAUAGCUGCUGACUGGAAACAGGAGCAGGAGUUUUUGGGUGCUUGCUAGACAGAGAGCCAAGGACAAUGGGAGAGACAGAGGUGAGAUGAUAGGAUGGGCAGUGGCUGAUGCAGGGGACUGGCUCUGAAUAAUCAGGGACCUAAGAACAAAGGGUCUGGAGCCAGGGCUGCCACCUCCUUCCUCUGUGACCUCGGGUAGGGAUAGCACGGCUCUGUGCUUGCUUCCUAGUCUCUGAGACAGAGUUCGUUCUGUGAGGGUCAGAUGAUUGUGUAGUGCUCAGUACACAGCUACACUACACAACACACACUAGAGAGUGCUGCGGGCGUGCCAGUCUUUGCAUGUAAGCUACUGUACAGCUGUUACAGCUCUUCCCUCCCCCUUACCCCACGAUACUUCUUCCAUUCCUCCCCCACAUACCCCACAGCUGGGAGAUGGGCAAAUGAGAAGAGGUGAUACAGGGAGGGCCGGGUGACAGCACCCAGGGCCUCUCUGUGUGCGGAAGGUUGUCUCAGCCCGGACACCUUCCCAUGACAGAGCAAUCUCAGCUGUGGGGGGGGGGGCGACAGGAGUCGGCUGCCCUGGUGCCUCCCCUCCCUUGUCUGGAGCUAGCUGCCCUGGUGCCUUCCCCGCUUGUCUGCAUGUCAAUCUCUCUGCUGGUGAGAGCCUAGGUGACAGGAGAGGGCUGCUCUGAGCUGCAGGGUGGCCAGCGGCAGAGGCCUGACAGGGAGUGCCACUGUCUGCUGCUUCCUGGCGGCUGACACUCAGGACAGCUGCCAGUCUCUCCUGGAGACAGCAACACAACCAGAGAACGGAUGAGAUGCUGUGGGGGGAACAAGGUAGUGAGUGGUUUGAGCGGCUUCUGCAGCCGCUGCUGUGCAGUACUGCCCUGUGCCACCUUAAAGUGCAGAUAUGGCCCUGGGGGGCACCCACCCAUCCCAUCCCAAAUGUGUAGCGCAGAACUGUCCUGUGAUGGGGAUACGGCAGAGGUGCUGGCCAGUACUAGACUAAGUGAAACCUGGGACCAUUUGAAGCAGGCAAGGGCAGAAGGAGCACUUUACUCUCCUACCCCUCUUUUUAUGCCCUCUGCAGGGCUUUGCUGUUAGGGAGAGGCUGAGUCCUUACAUUGAAGGAACGUGCUGUUUCUUUGUGAGCCUGAAAAUAAGGAGGCCAUCAGAGUGGGUAUGCUGAGGCUUACAUUAAGAGAAUGCUAAUGACACUAAGAAUACUAUUAAUGAUGGCUAACACGGACCACGCUUAUUACAUGCCAGGCACUGCGUCCAGGGCCAUAUUUACAAGUACAGUCUCUUUGAUGCAGCAGGAACUGUUGCUGUCCUCAUGUACCCAAUAAGGAAAGAGGGCUUCACAGGAUUUGGUCAAGGUCACAGCUGCCAGUGAAGCCAGAACCUGUGUCUGGGAGUCCGAUGGCAAAGCUUCCGGUAGAGAGGUCUCGAAUUUGCAGAUGGGGGCUACAGAGAAAUCCCAGGUGCAGCUUUACCUACAAGGACACAAGGCCUGGAGCUGCAGACCUGCCUGCCACGGCUGUCUGUGCAGCGGGCCAGGGGGCCACAGAGAAUCCUGCUGUUUUCUCUUCAGUCACGUGUCAAUCAACAGCAGGCCAGACCUGAAAGGAUCUGAAAGGCUUUGCCAGCUGAGGAGAGCAAAAGAGAGUCUGCCUCUGUAGGAUCCAUCAGUGCCCCUGAAACAGGAAGUGAUGGCGCCUGGCAGGGAUGACAGACAGCAAGGCCAUCACUCCCUGUCACUGUCUCUGUCACUCUGUUGCCUCCUCCAACUAGGGUCAGGACUCUGGGGAGAGAGUGACAGCCAGCAGCCCAGUUGCAGAGGGGGAGGGCUGAGGAGGGUGACAGCUUUGGUUGGUUUGUUUGCCAAGGGGAGGGGAGGCAUGGAGUGCAAGAGGGUGGCUUCAAGGAUCCAUGAUCAGCACUGGGAGUGCAGACCCUCUCCGUGGGGUACCUGUGUCCCCUGGUGGGGGGUUAGGACCCAGGUGUGGCUAUGGAAAUUAAAACAAGCAGAAAGGACUUUAUGACAGACUCUGAGCAUAUGGAGCAGACACACACACACACACACACACACAUCAAUUUAAAAAACAGAAUGCAGAAUUUUUACAACUCAGGGACUGGAGAGCAGGCUCAGCAAUUACGAUCUGCUCUUCCAGGAGACUGGAAUUCUGUUCCCAGCACCCCCAGGCAGCUCACAACCACCUGUAAGCAGCAGCCUCAGGGAGUCUGACGACCUCUGGACACCGAGCUGAGCUGAUGCGCACACCUCCAUUUGAUCUCAGUACGGCAGAGGCAGGGACAUCUCUGAGUUCAAGGCCAGGACAGCUAGGGCUGCACAGAGAAACCCUGUUUCUGAAAACCAAAACCAACCAACC